UUUUGAACCCCCCGCAGCACAAUCGCGUGAGGGGGGAAAGCUCUUGGGUCUUAAACCUCUUUUUUCAAAGAAGAAUCAAAUGACGGUACUUGAGGAAUCAGCAUCGGCUAACUCCGUGCCAGCAGCCGCGGUAAUACGGAGGAUGCAAGCGUUAUCCGGAAUGAUUGGGCGUAAAGCGUCCGCAGGUGGCACAUCAAGUCUGCUGUCAAAGCCCCCGGCUUAACUGGGAAGAGGCAGUGGAAACUGGAAAGCUAGAGAGCAAUAGGGGCAGAGGGAAUUCCCAGUGUAGCGGUGAAAUGCGUAGAGAUCGGGAAGAACACCGGUGGCGAAAGCGCUCUGCUAGGUUGCGACUGACACUGAGGGACGAAAGCUAGGGGAGCGAAUGGGAUUAGAUACCCCAGUAGUCCUAGCCGUAAACGAUGGAUACUAGGCGUUUCUCGUAUCGACCCGAGGAGUGUCGGAGCCAACGCGUUAAGUAUCCCGCCUGGGGAGUACGCACGCAAGUGUGAAACUCAAAGGAAUUGACGGGGGCCCGCACAAGCGGUGGAGUAUGUGGUUUAAUUCGAUGCAACGCGAAGAACCUUACCAGGGCUUGACAUGUCGCGAAUCUUGGGGAAACUCGGCAGUGCGAAAGGAGCCCGAACACAGGUGGUGCAUGGCGUCUCGCUCGUCCA
rnacentral:rRNA from 1 species